ensembl:snoRNA
AUCCUUUUGUGGUUCAUACAUGUGAUGAUUGGGUUUUCACACUCACAUGUGAGAUGUGCCUCCCUCCAACCUUGUUAUGAUGUCAGCACAUUACCCAUCUGACA